rnacentral:rRNA from 1 species
AAUCAACGCUGGCGGCGUGCCUCAGACAUGCAAGUCGAACGAUUAAAGCUCUCUUCGGAGAGUGCAUAAAGUGGCGCACGGGUGAGUAACACGUAAGUAAUCUACCUCUGAGUGGGGAAUAACGUCCGGAAACGGACGCUAAUACCGCAUAAUGCAGCGGCAUCAUAGGAUGACAGUUGUUAAAGAUUUAUCGCUUAGAGAGGAGCUUGCGGCAGAUUAGCUAGUUGGUAAGGUAACGGCUUACCAAGGCUACGAUCUGUAACCGGUCUUAGAGGACGGUCGGUCACACUGACACUGAAUAACGGGUCAGACUCCUACGGGAGGCAGCAGUCGGGAAUUUUGGGCAAUGGGCGAAAGCCUGACCCAGCAACGCCGCGUGAAGGAUGAAGUAUUUCGGUAUGUAAACUUCGAAAGAAUAGGAAGAAUAAAUGACGGUACUAUUUAUAAGGUCCGGCUAACUACGUGCCAGCCGCCGCUGUAACAC